CUCCUGGGGGUAUCACUGUUGAUUCUGUGGCUUCAGCCAGACUGUGAGUUCUGGGUGGGAGGUCUGAAUACAGUAGAAAACCUUCAAGAAACACCACAAGGCUGGGAGACGAGAUCAUUGGGGUGAAUAGUCAACAGAAUGAUGACCAGCAGCAAGUUAAGCAAACUCCAUCCCUGAGUGUGCAAGAACGAGAGAUUUCUAUUCUGAACUGUGACUACAAUAAUAAUAUGUUUGAUUACUUCAUAUGGUACAAAAAAUACCCUGCCAAAAGUCUUGAGUUUGUGAUAUCAAUACGUUCCACUGUGGAUAAAAAUGAAGAUGAAAGAUUCACAGUCUACCUCAACAAAAGUGCCAAACACCUGUCUCUGCACAUCGCAGCCUCACAGCCUGGAGAUUCAGCCUUGUACUUCUGCACAGCGAAUGACCUACGCUUUGGAGCAGGGACCAGACUGACGGUAAAGCCAUCUAUUCAGAACCCUGACCCUGCCGUGUACCAGCUGAAAAGCCCUGAAUCCAGUAACAUCUCUGUCUGCCUGUUCACUGAUUUUGAUUCGGAAGUCAAUGUGAAUCCAUCCACAGAGUCCAACAUGAUUAGAUUGAAAAGUACUUCACUGGACAUGAAGACUAUGGAUUCCAAGAGCAACGGGGCCCUGGCCUGGAGCAACAGCUUUGAUUUGGGAUGCAACAGUACCUUCAACUACACCUUCCACUCCAGCUCAGAAUUUCCCUGCGAUGCCAAUGUGGUAGAGAAAGGCUUUGAAACAGAUAUGAACCUAAAUUUCGACAACCUGACAGUGAUCAUGCUCCGCAUCAUCUUCCUGAAGGUGGUUGGCUUUAACCUGCUCAUGACGCUAAAGCUGUGGUCCAGCUGAGGUCGCCAAGAAUGUGAGAGCCCAGCGCUCCCCUGCUCCUCCCACACCUUCUCCCCAUCUUCAAGAAGAGAGGCACACCCUCUGCCCCCAUGGAGAAUAAGGUUCCCUCCACCUCUCUGGUCCCACUGGCAACGCCACUGACCGAACCCUAGCAGACAUUUGUGAUCAAGAUGCUGAAGAGCUGCCAAACACCGCUGCCACACCCUCUGUCCCCUCAUCACUGCUUGUCACUGCCUGACACUCCCGGCAAAGGAGCUGCUGCUGUGGCCUCACCUGGCUGGGGAGAAACUCCCCGACCUUCCCCUGAAACUGCCCAUAUGUCCCCUGGAUGAGGGAUCCCCAGUGGGUCCUCUCGGGCUCUAGCUCCUGGAGAAUGUUGUGAGGAGUUUAUAUAUUUUAAAUUAUGUUCAUAAAGGAAUAACACAUCACACUUGUCCCCAAGAUGUGAGGAAAAUUAUUAUCUAGGCCCUGCUGUGCUAUGUAUCUGAACCACAUUGUAUAUUCUGCUACCCAUGACUUCAUUAAAGGCGAUUGAAAGAGCA